rnacentral:rRNA from 1 species
GCCCAGACUCCUACGGGAGGCAGCAGUAGGGAAUCUUUCACAAUGGGCGAAAGCCUGAUGGAGCAACGCCGCGUGCAGGAUGAAGGCCUUCGGGUUGUAAACUGCUUUUAUAAGCGAGAAAUAUGAUGGUAACUUAUGAAUAAGGAUCGGCUAACUCCGUGCCAGCAGCCGCGGUAAUACGGAGGAUGCGAGCGUUAUCCGGAUUUAUUGGGUUUAAAGGGUGCGCAGGCGGAUUUUUAAGUCAGCGGUCAAAUCGUGGGGCUCAACCCCAUCCAGCCGUUGAAACUGGGGAUCUAGAGUGUGCGAGAGGUAUGCGGAAUGCGUGGUGUAGCGGUGAAAUGCAUAGAUAUCGCGCAGAACCCCGAUUGCGAAGGCAGCGUGCCGUGCCGCCACUGACGCUGAGGCACGAAAGCGCGGGGAUCGAACAGGAUUAGAUACCCUUGUAAG